UAGGGAAUUUUCCACAAUGGACGAAAGUCUGAUGGAGCAACGCCGCGUGCAGGAUGAAUGCCUUCGGGUUGUAAACUGCUUUUAUCUGUGACGAAUAUGACGGUAGCAGAUGAAUAAGGAUCGGCUAACUCCGUGCCAGCAGCCGCGGUCAUACGGAGGAUCCAAGCGUUAUCCGGAAUUACUGGGCGUAAAGAGUUGCGUAGGUGGCAGAGUAAGUUGGUAGUGAAAGCGUGCGGCUCAACCGCAUAUCCAUUACCAAAACUACUCAGCUAGAGGACGAGAGAGGUAGUUGGAAUUGCUAGUGUAGGGGUAAAAUCCGUAGAUAUUAGUAAGAACACCGAUGGCGUAGGCAGAUUACUGGCUCGUUCCUGACACUAAGGCACGAAAGCGUGGGGAGCAAACAGG
rnacentral:rRNA from 1 species